rnacentral:rRNA from 1 species
ACGGGGCCCGCACAAGCGGUGGAGCAUGUGGUUUAAUUCGACGCAACGCGAAGAACCUUACCAGGGCUUGACAUCUACAGAAUCUUGAGGAAACUCAGGAGUGCCCUUCGGGGAACUGUAAGACAGGUGGUGCAUGGUUGUCGUCAGCUCGUGUCGUGAGAUGUUGGGUUAAGUCCCGCAACGAGCGCAACCCCUAUGUUUAGUUGCUAGCGAGUAAAGUCGAGCACUCUAGACAGACUGCCGGUGAUAAACCGGAGGAAGGUGGGAUGACGUCAAAUCAUCAUGCCCCUUAUGUUCUGGGCUACACACGUGCUACAAUGGCCGGUACAAACGGAAGCGAAGCCGCGAGGUGAAGCAAAUCUGAUAAAACCGGUCUCAGUUCGGAUUGCAGGCUGCAACUCGCCUGCAUGAAGUCGGAAUCGCUAGUAAUCGCAGGUCAGCAUACUGCGGUGAAUACGUUCCCGGGCCUU